UUUAUAUCAAUUGCAGAAAAUAAGUAAAAUUAAUAGGCAAAAUCGUGCUAAGUUUGAAGAUGUUCAUUGUAUGGGUUCAAAAAGUCUCCCAAAGUUUAUUGAUGAGAAGGUUUAUUUCUAUUUCUAUUUCUAUUUUUAUGGCUUUAAUUUAAAUUAAAAAUGAAAUGCAUUUAACUUAUUGAUUUGGUUGUAGAUAAAAAAGGGCAAAGGAGUGUUGCUUGGACGUAAAGAGAUAUACAUUGAUACCCGCACUCGUAAAGAUGGAACAAUUGUCAAUGAAAAGGCUGCAAGAAUGAUUGUUCCUGAUGCUACUAGUGCUCAAAAUCAUUUGAAUUCACUUAGUCCAAACAACAACGAAAAUAAUGAAAAUGGUGAAGAUUAAAAGCUAAUUUGUUGUUGAAGAUGGAAUAUUGGCAAUUUAGUGGACUCCAUUUCUUAGUAUUUUUUGAGAUUGUUAUGUAUGACACAAGAUGUCUAUUUUAAAUGUCUAUUUUUUGAGGUUAAG